AAGGCCUUGUCAGUCAGAUUUUUAUUAUCUUUACACAUGGAGAUUCCACAGCCUCUCUGGGCAGCCUGUCUUAAUAUUUGUUCACGUUGUUAAGGAAAGAAUACUUGUGUGUAAUCAGAGCUUCUCAUGUUCCAACUUGUCUGCUGCCUCCUGUGAUGUCACUGUAGACCUCAAAGAAGAGUCUGGUUCCAUCUUCUCUAGGCAGCUGUACACAGCACCUUCAUUGUUCAAGUACUUUAUGUACUUCACCUACUGCUGAUUCUCAGUUCUAAACAGCAGAAUAAAUGGAUUAUUUUUCUUGAAAUCUGACAGAAGAUUGGUGAUGCCUUUUCAAUGAGACGUAAUAAUAAGUCAUAUUCU